GAUGCCCUAGUGGCUGGGCAAAGAGGGGAAGACACUGCUACAAGCUCUUCAGAGGAGAGCAAAGCUGGUCUGUAGCAGAGCAAACCUGUAUUGGCUAUGGAGCUCAUCUUGCAAUGAUCAAAGACAGUGAUGUUCAAGCCGAUGUGAACUACAUUGCACGUCGGAACGGUAUAACGUCUCGUGAGAAAUAUUGGAUCGGGGCCCUUGGAAACAAAAGGCAACCUGGAGCUGGAAACACUUACUCUUGGAUUGAUGGCUCACCACUACGCUACACGCAUUGGGGAGCUGGUGAGCCAAACAACCAGGGCAACAACGAGCACUGCGUGAACAAUGACCACUCAAAAAAUGGUGGAGAGUGGAAUGAUGACUUAUGCCACAAGCCAUUGCCAUUCCUCUGUGCCAAAGAGAUAUAGGUGGCCGGCCUUCAGUAAUACAGCAGGGCACGACAAAGAACAUCGUCUACUUCGGAGAUUGGAAGCAUUUCUCUCUCUUUCUCUCUUUCUCUCAGAAAUAGUAGUUUAGCACUGCAUUUCUUUCCUCCAGCAAGUUGGCAUCUAAGUCAUAUAAAAACAUUAGAAAAAAUGUGCAUAGAAGUGCUUCUGAUUACUGGUGGUGGUAGGUGUGCAUACAGGUACAUGGCUGCACUGGGACCUGUGCAGUCCUACCCAACGGGGCAGCUGUGGUUAAUGCUUAGAGACUUGGCCAUGGGCUCAGAACAGAAGCUUGUUGGUUUGAACCUCAUGUCAGAAGAAUCAUUAGGGCUGAAUCCAUGGCUGAAGUGCCCUUGAGCAAGGCACCUAAUCCUCCAUUGCUCGAGGG